GACGAACGCUGGCGGCGUGCUUAACACAUGCAAGUCGAACGGAAAGGCCCUGCUUUUGUGGGGUGCUCGAGUGGCGAACGGGUGAGUAACACGUGAGUAACCUGCCCUUGACUUUGGGUUAACUUCAGGAAACUGGGGCUAAUACCGGAUAGGAGCUCCUGCUGCAUGGUGGGGGUUGGAAAGUUUCGGCGGUUGGGGAUGGACUCGCGGCUUAUCAGCUUGUUGGUGGGGUAGUGGCUUACCAAGGCUUUGACGGGUAGCCGGCCUGAGAGGGUGACCGGCCACAUUGGGACUGAGAUACGGCCCAGACUCCUACGGGAGGCAGCAGUGGGGAAUAUUGCACAAUGGGCGGAAGCCUGAUGCAGCAACGCCGCGUGCGGGAUGACGGCCUUCGGGUUGUAAACCGCUUUCGCCUGUGACGAAGCGUGAGUGACGGUAAUGGGUAAAGAAGCACCGGCUAACUACGUGCCAGCAGCCGCGGUGAUACGUAGGGUGCGAGCGUUGUCCGGAUUUAUUGGGCGUAAAGGGCUCGUAGGUGGUUGAUCGCGUCGGAAGUGUAAUCUUGGGGCUUAACCCUGAGCGUGCUUUCGAUACGGGUUGACUUGAGGAAGGUAGGGGAGAAUGGAAUUCCUGGUGGAGCGGUGGAAUGCGCAGAUAUCAGGAGGAACACCAGUGGCGAAGGCGGUUCUCUGGGCCUUUCCUGACGCUGAGGAGCGAAAGCGUGGGGAGCGAACAGGCUUAGAUACCCUGGUAGUCCACGCUGUAAACGGUGGGUACUAGGUGUGGGGUCCAUUCCACGGGUUCCGUGCCGUAGCUAACGCUUUAAGUACCCCGCCUGGGGAGUACGGCCGCAAGGCUAAAACUCAAAGGAAUUGACGGGGCCCCGCACAAGCGGCGGAGCAUGCGGAUUAAUUCGAUGCAACGCGUAGAACCUUACCUGGGUUUGACAUGGAUCGGGAGUGCUCAGAGAUGGGUGUGCCUCUUUUGGGGUCGGUUCACAGGUGGUGCAUGGCUGUCGUCAGCUCGUGUCGUGAGAUGUUGGGUUAAGUCCCGCAACGAGCGCAACCCUUGUUCACUGUUGUCAGCACGUUAUGGUGGGGACUCAGUGGAGACCGCCGGGGUCAACUCGGAGGAAGGUGGGGAUGACGUCAAGUCAUCAUGCCCCUUAUGUCCAGGGCUUCACGCAUGCUACAAUGGCUGGUACAGAGAGUGGCGAGCCUGUGAGGGUGAGCGAAUCUCGGAAAGCCGGUCUCAGUUCGGAUUGGGGUCUGCAACUCGACCUCAUGAAGUCGGAGUCGCUAGUAAUCGCAGAUCAGCAACGCUGCGGUGAAUACGUUCCCGGGGCU
rnacentral:rRNA from 1 species